rnacentral:rRNA from 1 species
CGGCGGACGGGUGAGUAACACGUGGAUAACCUACCUAUAAGACUGGGAUAACUUCGGGAAACCGGAGCUAAUACCGGAUAAUAUUUUGAACCGCACGGUUCAAAAGUGAAAGACGGUCUUGCUGUCACUUAUAGAUGGAUCCGCGCUGCAUUAGCUAGUUGGUAAGGUAACGGCUUACCAAGGCAACGAUGCAUAGCCGACCUGAGAGGGUGAUCGGCCACACUGGAACUGAGACACGGUCCAG